rnacentral:rRNA from 1 species
CCUACGGGUGGCUGCAGUGGGGAAUAUUGGACAAUGGGGGCAACCCUGAUCCAGCCAUGCCGCGUGUGUGAAGAAGGCCCUCGGGUUGUAAAGCACUUUCAGUGAGGAAGAACGCCUGGUGGUUAAUACCCAUCAGGAAAGACAUCACUCACAGAAGAAGCACCGGCUAACUCCGUGCCAGCAGCCGCGGUAAUACGGAGGGUGCGAGCGUUAAUCGGAAUUACUGGGCGUAAAGCGCGCGUAGGUGGCUUGAUAAGGCGGUUGUGAAAGCCCCGGGCUCAACCUGGGAACGGCAUCCGGAACUGUCAAGCUAGAGUGCAGGAGAGGAAGGUAGAAUUCCCGGUGUAGCGGUGAAAUGCGUAGAGAUCGGGAGGAAUACCAGUGGCGAAGGCGGCCUUCUGGACUGACACUGACACUGAGGUGCGAAAGCGUGGGUAGCAAACAGGAUUAGAUACCCUAGUAGUC